rnacentral:rRNA from 1 species
CGCGUAGGCGGUGCGGUAAGUCACCCGUGAAACCUCCGGGCUCAACUCGGAGCCUGCAGGCGAAACUGCCGUGCUGGAGUGUGGGAGGGGUGCGUGGAAUUCCCGGUGUAGCAGUGAAAUGCGUAGAGAUCGGGAGGAACACCUGUGGCGAAAGCGGCGCACUGGACCACAACUGACGCUGAGGCGCGAAAGCUAGGGGAGCAAACAGGAUUAGAUACCCUGGUAGUCCUAGCCCUAAACGAUGGAUGCUUGGUGUAGCCGGUACCCAAUCCGGCUGUGCCGCAGCUAACGCGAUAAGCAUCCCGCCUGGGGAGUACGGUCGCAAGGCUGAA